AAAGAUACGAGAAAGAGUUCGAUGAGGCAUACGACUUGUUCGAAGUUCAGAGUUUUGAACAACUGUUUCUCUUACGACAUAGUUCCAUCACCAGCUGUCA
rnacentral:misc_RNA from 1 species